UCGUCACACUAUCAUUAACUGAAUCCAUAGGUUAAUGAGGCGAACCGGGGGAACUGAAACAUCUAAGUACCCCGAGGAAAAGAAAUCAACCGAGAUUCCCCCAGUAGCGGCGAGCGAACGGGGAGGAGCCCAGAGCCUGAAUCAGCAUGUGUGUUAGUGGAAGCGUCUGGAAAGGCGCGCGAUACAGGGUGACAGCCCCGUACACAAAAGCGCAUGUGCUGUGAGCUCGAUGAGUAGGGCGGGACACGUGGUAUCCUGUCUGAAUAUGGGGGGACCAUCCUCCAAGGCUAAAUACUCCUGACUGACCGAUAGUGAACCAGUACCGUGAGGGAAAGGCGAAAAGAACCCCGGCGAGGGGAGUGAAAAAGAACCUGAAACCGUGUACGUACAAGCAGUGGGAGCACCCUUUGGGUGUGACUGCGUACCUUUUGUAUAAUGGGUCAGCGACUUAUAUUCUGUAGCAAGGUUAACCGAAUAGGGGAGCCGGAGGGAAACCGAGUCUUAAUUGGGCGUUAAGUUGCAGGGUAUAGACCCGAAACCCGGUGAUCUAGCCAUGGGCAGGUUGAAGGUUGGGUAACACUAACUGGAGGACCGAACCGACUAAUGUUGAAAAAUUAGCGGAUGACCUGUGGCUGGGGGUGAAAGGCCAAUCAAACCGGGAGAUAGCUGGUUCUCCCCGAAAGCUAUUUAGGUAGCGCCUCGUGAAUUCAUCUCCGGGGGUAGAGCACUGUUUCGGCUAGGGGGCCAUCCCGGCUUACCAACCCGAUGCAAACUGCGAAUACCGGAGAAUGUUAUCACGGGAGACACACGGCGGGUGCUAACGUCCGUCGUGAAGAGGGAAACAACCCAGACCGCCAGCUAAGGUCCCAAAGUCAUGGUUAAGUGGGAAACGAUGUGGGAAGGCCCAGACAGCCAGGAUGUUGGCUUAGAAGCAGCCAUCAUUUAAAGAAAGCGUAAUAGCUCACUGGUCGAGUCGGCCUGCGCGGAAGAUGUAACGGGGCUAAACCAUGCACCGAAGCUGCGGCAGCGACACUGUGUGUUGUUGGGUAGGGGAGCGUUCUGUAAGCCUGUGAAGGUGUGUCGUGAGGCAUGCUGGAGGUAUCAGAAGUGCGAAUGCUGACAUAAGUAACGAUAAAGCGGGUGAAAAGCCCGCUCGCCGGAAGACCAAGGGUUCCUGUCCAACGUUAAUCGGGGCAGGGUGAGUCGACCCCUAAGGCGAGGCCGAAAGGCGUAGUCGAUGGGAAACGGGUUAAUAUUCCCGUACUUGGUGUUACUGCGAAGGGGGGACGGAGAAGGCUAUGUUGGCCGGGCGACGGUUGUCCCGGUUUAAGCGUGUAGGCUGGUUUUCCAGGCAAAUCCGGAAAAUCAAGGCUGAGGCGUGAUGACGAGGCACUACGGUGCUGAAGCAACAAAUGCCCUGCUUCCAGGAAAAGCCUCUAAGCAUCAGGUAACAUCAAAUCGUACCCCAAACCGACACAGGUGGUCAGGUAGAGAAUACCAAGGCGCUUGAGAGAACUCGGGUGAAGGAACUAGGCAAAAUGGUGCCGUAACUUCGGGAGAAGGCACGCUGACACGUAGGUGAAGUGAUUUACUCAUGGAGCUGAAGUCAGUCGAAGAUACCAGCUGGCUGCAACUGUUUAUUAAAAACACAGCACUGUGCAAACACGAAAGUGGACGUAUACGGUGUGACGCCUGCCCGGUGCCGGAAGGUUAAUUGAUGGGGUCAGCGCAAGCGAAGCUCCUGAUCGAAGCCCCGGUAAACGGCGGCCGUAACUAUAACGGUCCUAAGGUAGCGAAAUUCCUUGUCGGGUAAGUUCCGACCUGCACGAAUGGCGUAAUGAUGGCCAGGCUGUCUCCACCCGAGACUCAGUGAAAUUGAACUCGCUGUGAAGAUGCAGUGUACCCGCGGCAAGACGGAAAGACCCCGUGAACCUUUACUAUAGCUUGACACUGAACAUUGAGCCUUGAUGUGUAGGAUAGGUGGGAGGCUUUGAAGUGUGGACGCCAGUCUGCAUGGAGCCGACCUUGAAAUACCACCCUUUAAUGUUUGAUGUUCUAACGUGGACCCGUUACCCGGGUUGCGGACAGUGUCUGGUGGGUAGUUUGACUGGGGCGGUCUCCUCCUAAAGAGUAACGGAGGAGCACGAAGGUUGGCUAAUCCUGGUCGGACAUCAGGAGGUUAGUGCAAUGGCAUAAGCCAGCUUGACUGCGAGCGUGACGGCGCGAGCAGGUGCGAAAGCAGGUCAUAGUGAUCCGGUGGUUCUGAAUGGAAGGGCCAUCGCUCAACGGAUAAAAGGUACUCCGGGGAUAACAGGCUGAUACCGCCCAAGAGUUCAUAUCGACGGCGGUGUUUGGCACCUCGAUGUCGGCUCAUCACAUCCUGGGGCUGAAGUAGGUCCCAAGGGUAUGGCUGUUCGCCAUUUAAAGUGGUACGCGAGCUGGGUUUAGAACGUCGUGAGACAGUUCGGUCCCUAUCUGCCGUGGGCGCUGGAGAACUGAGGGGGGCUGCUCCUAGUACGAGAGGACCGGAGUGGACGCAUCACUGGUGUUCGGGUUGUCAUGCCAAUGGCACUGCCCGGUAGCUAAAUGCGGAAGAGAUAAGUGCUGAAAGCAUCUAAGCACGAAACUUGCCCCGA
rnacentral:rRNA from 1 species